UAGCUUGGUCAAGCCUGGUAGCUU
rnacentral:misc_RNA from 1 species